rnacentral:rRNA from 1 species
UACGAAGGGGGCUAGCGUUGCUCGGAAUUACUGGGCGUAAAGCGCACGUAGGCGGUCUCUUAAGUCGGUGGUGUAAUCCUGGAGCUCAACUCCAGAACUGCCUUCGAUACUGAGAGUCUCGAGUUCGGGAGAGGUGAGUGGAACUGCGAGUGUAGAGGUGAAAUUCGUAGAUAUUCGCAAGAACACCAGUGGCGAAGGCGGCUAACUGGCCCGAUACUGACGCUGAGGCACGAAAGCGUGGGGAGCAAACAGG